UACGGAGGAUCCAAGCGUUAUCCGGAUUUAUUGGGUUUAAAGGGUCCGUAGGCGGGAUAUUAAGUCAGUGGUGAAAGCCUGCAGCUUAACUGUAGCACUGCCAUUGAUACUGGUAUUCUUGAGUCUAGUUGAGGUGGGCGGAAUGUGUCAUGUAGCGGUGAAAUGCAUAGAUAUGACACAGAACACCAAUUGCGAAGGCAGCUCACUAAGCUAGUACUGACGCUGAGGGACGAAAGCGUGGGUAGCAAAC
rnacentral:rRNA from 1 species